rnacentral:rRNA from 1 species
CCAAUCGAACUUGGAGCUAGCUGGUUCUCCUCGAAAUGCGUUGAGGCGCAGCGGUUGAUUAUGGGCUUCCAGGGGGUAAAGCGCUGUCUCGGUGCGGGCUGCGAAAGCGGUACCAAUCUGUUGCAAACUCGGAAUACCUAGAAUGUUUUCAAUCAGCCAGUGAGACUGCGGGGGAUAAGCUCCGUAGUCAAAAGGGAAACAGCCCAGACCACCAGCUAAGGCUCCUAAAUAAAAGCUAAGUGGCAAAGGAGGUGAAAGUGCGGUGACAAUCAGGAGGUUUGCCUAGAAGCAGCCACCCUCUAAGGAGUGCGUAAUAGCUCACUGAUCAAGCGCUUUUGCGCCGAAAAUGACCGGAACUAAGUUUUUUGCCGAAGCUGUGGCUACAUCACACAGAUGAUGUAGGGUAGAGGAGCGUUCCGCCCAGGGGGAAGCCAAGCGCGUAAGCCGCGGUGGACAGGGCGGAAGUGAGAAUGUCAGCUUGAGUAACGCAAACAUUGGUGAGAAUCCAGUGCCCCGAAAACUCAAGGGUUCCUGCGCAAGGCUCGUCCGCGCAGGGUCAGUCAGGACCUAAGGUGAGGCCGAAAGGCGUAAUUGAUGGCAAGAAGGUUUAUAUUCCUUCACUAAUCUAGGCUUAGUCCUGAGGGACGAACAAAUAACACUCGGCACAACGGCCACACUUGGCAGUAUGGAUAAACCCGUUGCUGUUUGAUGCUAUUUAUUCCAAGAAAAGCUCAUUCGACUUUGAGUCUAGAUUACCUGUACCGUAAACCGACACAGGUGAGUGGGUUGAAUAAACUAAGGGGAGCGAGAUAACUCUCUCUAAGGAACUCGGCAAAUUGGCUCUGUACCUUCGGAAGAAAGAGUGCCCCUUCAUGGGGCCGCAGUGAAGAGAUCCAGGCGACUGUUUACCAAAAACACAGGUCUCCGCAAAGUCGUAAGACGACGUAUGGGGGCUGACACCUGCCCAGUGCCAGAAGGUUAAAGAAGUUGGUCAAUCUUUGAUGAAGCUAACAACUGAAGCCCUGGUGAACGGCGGCAGUAACUAUAACUGUCCUAAGGUAGCGAAAUUCCUUGUCGGGUAAGUUCCGACCCGCACGAAAGGUGUAACGAUCUGGAUACUGUCUCAGAGAGAGACUCGGUGAAAUAAAACUAGCUGUGAAGAUGCGGCUUACCUGCACACGGACAGAAAGACCCUAUGAAGCUUUACUGUAACCUGGAAUUGCUUUCAAGCUUAUUUUGCGCAGCUUAGGUGGGAGGCUACGAACCUUUUCUUCCGGGAAGAGGGGAGCCAUCAGUGAGAUACCACUCUUGGUAAGCUAGAAAGCUCAGUCUUAACCGUUAUCCGGUAAGACGACAGUUUCAGGCGGGCAGUUUGACUGGGGCAGUCACCUCCCAAAAGGUAAUGGAGGUGCACAAAGGUUCCCUCAGGUUGGACGGAAAUCAACCAUAGAGUGUAAAAGCAUAAGGGAGCUUGACUGCGAGACUGACAUGUCAAGCAGAGACGAAAGUCGGUUUUAGUGAUCCGACGGUGCUGCGUGGAAAGGCCGUCGCUCAACGGAUAAAAGUUACUCUAGGGAUAACAGGCUAAUCUCCCCCAAGAGUUCACAUCGACGGGGAGGUUUGGCACCUCGAUGUCGGCUCAUCGCAUCCUGGAGCGGAAGUACGUUCCAAGGGUUGGGCUGUUCGCCCAUAGAAAGCGGUACGCGAGCUGGGUUCAGAACGUCGUGAGACAGUUUGGUCCAUAUCCUGUGUAGGCGUUUAGAGCAUUGAAAGGAUCUCCCCUUUGUACGAGAGGACCAGGUGGGGACAGACCUCUAGUGUACCAGUUAUUCCGCCAGGGGUAAACGCUGGGUAGCUAUGUCUGGAGUAAAUAACUGCUGAAAGCAUAUAAGUAGGAAGUUCACCUUAAGAUGAGUGCUCUU